CUGUUGGUUUGUAUGGUCUGCCUGGCGAUGUUCCUUGCUACGGUCACAUCUCACAGAGUCAUUAUACGUGAUUUGUUACGUAGACAAGAUACUGACCUUAUUGAAGGUGAAGAAAGUUUUGAAAGUAGGUUUUUCGCUAAAUAGACUAGAACAACUUGCAGAGAUCUCUCAAAUGCAGAAUACAGAUUCUUUUUCUUUUUUUUUUU
rnacentral:sRNA from 1 species